UUAUUUGAGAGUUUGAUCCUGGCUCAGGAUGAACGCUGGCGGCGUGCCUAACACAUGCAAGUUGAGCGAUUUACUUCGGUAAAGAGCGGCGGACGGGUGAGUAACGCGUGGGUAACCUACCCUGUACACACGGAUAACAUACCGAAAGGUAUGCUAAUACGGGAUAACAUAUUUGAGAGGCAUCUCUUAAAUAUCAAAGGUGAGCCAGUACAGGAUGGACCCGCGUCUGAUUAGCUAGUUGGUAAGGUAACGGCUUACCAAGGCGACGAUCAGUAGCCGACCUGAGAGGGUGAUCGGCCACAUUGGAACUGAGACACGGUCCAAACUCCUACGGGAGGCAGCAGUGGGGAAUAUUGCACAAUGGGCGAAAGCCUGAUGCAGCAACGCCGCGUGAGUGAUGAAGGCCUUCGGGUCGUAAAACUCUGUCCUCAAGGAAGAUAAUGACGGUACUUGAGGAGGAAGCCCCGGCUAACUACGUGCCAGCAGCCGCGGUAAUACGUAGGGGGCUAGCGUUAUCCGGAUUUACUGGGCGUAAAGGGUGCGUAGGCGGUCUUUCAAGUCAGGAGUGAAAGGCUACGGCUCAACCGUAGUAAGCUCUUGAAACUGGGAGACUUGAGUGCAGGAGAGGAGAGUGGAAUUCCUAGUGUAGCGGUGAAAUGCGUAGAUAUUAGGAGGAACACCAGUUGCGAAGGCGGCUCUCUGGACUGUAACUGACGCUGAGGCACGAAAGCGUGGGGAGCAAACAGGAUUAGAUACCCUGGUAGUCCACGCUGUAAACGAUGAGUACUAGGUGUCGGGGGUUACCCCC
rnacentral:rRNA from 1 species